rnacentral:lncRNA from 1 species
GGAAUCCACUUUUAGAAUAGCUUGAUCUGCCUCUUCAACUGUUCUAGACCCCGGACGAUUUCGGGCCUGACAGAUAGAAUAUAGUGAGUAUACACCUGACUUUUUUUGAAUAUUGUAUUCUGAACGUCUUCGAUUAUUUGCCAGUUUCAUUUGGUAGUUAGCUAGUUGACUUCAAGCAAUUUUACAAUUAUACUUUAAUUCGGACGAAAAACUUCAGAUUUAAAAUUCAUUCAUUUAAUGUCUAGAGUAGUUGGCAGAUACAGA